AUUGAACGCUGGCGGCAGGCCUAACACAUGCAAGUCGAACGAGUGGCGGACGGGUGAGUAAUGUCUGGGAAACUGCCUGCUGGAGGGGGAUAACUACUGGAAACGGUAGCUAAUACCGCAUACCAUCAGAUGUGCCCAGAUGGGCUUAGCUUGGUGGGGGGGUAACGGCUCCCCAAGGCGACGACCCCUAGCUGGUCUGAGAGGAGGACCAGCCAUACGGGAACUGGGACACGGUCCAGACUCCUAAGGGAGGCGGCAGUGGGGAGUAUUGCACAAGGGGCGCAAGCCGGAUGCGGCCAUGCGGCGUGUAUGAAGAAGGCCUUCGGGUUGUAAAGUACUUUCAGCGGGGAGGCGUUACCCGCAGAAGAAGCACCGGCUAACUCCGUGCCAGCAGCCGCGGUAAUAC
rnacentral:rRNA from 1 species